rnacentral:rRNA from 1 species
GAGUUUUGAUCAUGGCUCAGAUUGAACGCUGGCGGCAUGCCUUACACAUGCAAGUCGAACGGCAGCAUGAUCUAGCUUGCUAGAUUGAUGGCGAGUGGCGAACGGGGUGAGUAAUACAUCGGAACGUGCCCUGUAGUGGGGGAUAACUAGUCGAAAGAUUAGCUAAUACCGCAUACGACCUGAGGGUGAAAGUGGGGGGACCGCAAGGCCUCAUGCUAUGGAGCGGCCG